rnacentral:tmRNA from 1 species
UAAAUGGCGCACCGUGUUUGUCGAAGACACGUUAAACAGCGACAAAAAAAAUAACUGAUAACUAUUCUUACGCAUUAGCUGCUUAAUUUUUUAAGUAGCCGUUCUUUCGACUCUUUCAUAUCGGGGUUGGAAUGAGCGUCGUUUAGGUAUGAUAGCCGACUCGAAUACUUGAAUAGAGAAGGCGAAAAUUUUCUCAGGUUGGUUCAUUCAAAGCGUGUCUAUUCGCGUUGAGUGAGCGAGAUUAAUAAAUAGAAUAUGUGUGUAGAUGUUUAUUGAGGGGUAAUUUCGGACGCGGGUUCAACUCCCGCCACCUCCACUA